rnacentral:rRNA from 1 species
UGAGUCGAUCCUAAGCCAACUGUGAAAGCAGUGACAUCCCGACAAAGGGGCAUUACAUACGCUGCACUUACACCCCCACGGCAAAGCUCUGAGAUAUAUAUAUAUCUCUCUCUCUCUGACGAUAAAGGUGUCUGGUACGGAAUAUGCGCACGCACGGUGAUCACUACAAAUACGUGUGUGAGUGUGUGCGCUUGUAUGGUUACGCUCAUAAGCGUUGUUGCUCUCUGGUAAAAGGAUAAAGCAUAAGAGAGAGAGAGAGAGACACACACACAGAGUGUGGGUGAGCGUGAGUUUGCUCUCGCAUGAGCCCCCUGCGUCUGGUUCUAUGUCUGGCGAAAGGGAAUGGGGACUUUGUUCCUUGACCGGUCCCGGCACCCUCGAUUGGCUUUGCCAAUUAAUGGUCCAUGCAAAUGGAACCAGGCCACAGCCGCUGGCAGUCGCCCGAGGAA